GAUGAACGCUGGCGGCGUGCUUAACACAUGCAAGUCGAACGGAGUGGCGAACGGGUGAGUAACACGUGAGUAACCUGUCCUUUUCUUUGGGAUGCGCUUCCGAAAGGGUGUUUAAUACCUUAUAGGGUGGGCUCGCGGUCUAUCAGCUGGUUGGGGGGGUGAUGGCCUACCAAGGCUUUGAUGGGUAGCCGGCCUGAGAGGGUGGUGGGUCACAUUGGGACUGCGAGCCGGCCCAGGCUCCUGCAGUGGGCAGCAGUGGGGGAUAUUGGCCAAUGGGCGACAGCCUGAUGGAGUGACGCAGCGUGGGGGAUGAAGGCCUGCGGGUUGUAAACUGCUGUUGCGCUGAACGUGUAGGGGUUGAUAAGCGCCGGCUAACUACGUGCCAGCAGCCGCGGUAAUUC
rnacentral:rRNA from 1 species